GCAGACUGACAGCAGAUGUCUGUCAGCAGAUGUUUUCCAAAAUCUUGCUUCCCUGAUGCAGGAGGGACACUGCAGCCUCUCCUGAAGAGAUACCUGGGAAUUGGCAUAGUCACCAGACAAUCACACCUCUGGUGUGUUUUUACCCAGGGUACAGCAAAGCGACAUGGAACUGGCUUUUUUGGCAACAGCUGACUGUUGUGUAAGAACAACCUC